AACGAUGAAGCCGCAGCUUGCUGUGGUGGAUUAGUGGCGAACGGGCGAGUAACACGUGAGUAACCUGUCCUUUUCUUUGGGAUAACGGCUGGAAACGGCUGCUAAUACUGGAUAUUCAGGCUGCAUCGCAUGGUGUGGUUUGGAAAGGUUUUUUCUGGGAUUGGGUGGGCUCGCGGCCUAUCAGCUUGUUGGUGGGGUGAUGGCUUACCAAGGCUUUGACGGGUAGCCGGCCUGAGAGGGUGGUCGGUCGCACUGGGACUGAGAUACGGCCCAGACUCCUACGGGAGGCAGCAGUGGGGAAUAUUGCACAAUGGACGAAAGUUUGAUGCAGCGACGCCGCGUGGAGGGUGUAGGCCUUCGGGUUGUGAACUCCUUUUUCUCGCGAAAAAGGCACAGUUUUGGCUGUGUUGAUGGUAGUGGGGGAAGAAGCGCCGGCUAACUACGUGCCAGCCGCCGCGGUAA
rnacentral:rRNA from 1 species